AUACUCAAAAGUAUUAUAUCCACCUAAAGACUCAUAAAUGGAGAAUCAUAAGAAUCCAGCGAGUGGACCUACCACAUCAGCAUGUUUUAUAGUGAUUAGUGAUUGGGAUCAGCAUAUUAGUUGUCAAGUGAUUAAGGGAUUGGUUUGGGUAUGCGAUAGUUUGCCAUGCUUUAGCCUUCACCCUAGCCUUGCUGCCAUAAGGCUCUAUAUAAGUUCUUUUGUUUGCUUCCUCUUUUGGUUCUCUGUGUUGUAUUUCAUUUAGAGUGAAUAAAAGCAGUUUAACUACUUUGAACCUUAUAAGAGACACAUGUUAGCUAUGGGGUUUAAGUGUUUAACUAAUAUCUUGUAAGACCCAAGUAUUUCUCUCUUAACUAGCUUUUGGGGAAAAGAACUUUUAGAUUUCAAAGCUUAAUCCUUUAUAUCUACAAGUGUCUCUGCAAUUGUUAUUUUAUACAAUUAGGAAGUUUGAACCAAAAUAUCAUUAAUAUCAUAAAACAUAACUUCCCAAAGGUUUGUGUAUGUUAUUUGCAAUGGCCAAUGAGACUGGAAUUCGCUUGAGAAGGAAAGUUUCAGAGAACCAAUCUUUUUUGAACCAAUCAUAUAACCAAAACUUGAAGAUAGAUUUCUUCAGAAAAUACAUAUGUUACGUGAUCACAAGAUUGGGUGCAUAAUUUUUUUUAUGAAAAGGUUUUGAGAAUUAGGUUUAAUAAGAAGAAAGUUACAAAAAGAAGAGAAAAUUAUUUGAAAGAAAUAUCUGUUUAUGGUUGUGUUAUUAAUUUUGUAAAUUAAAAACGAUACAUUAAUUCCUUAGUUUGAAAUUUUGUUAGACUAUUUUGUUAAUAUGAUUUUUGUUAACUUUAGUAUAACAUCGUCAAAUUUUUAAAAGACCUAAAAUAGAUAUUUUGUAAGCAUUUGGAUAUGGUGAGUAGAAAUUCCAUCUUGGAUAUUAAAGUCUCUUGGUCCCAGCUUUCGCAUGCGUAGUAAGUAGUACACUGUGUAUUCAAGAAACAAAAAGGUUGUCCAAAGAUUUUUUACUUUUCACAAGAUUUGUUAUAGAUUAUACAAAGUUGAAUCAAGAAAGUUAAUAUAUAUCUCAAAAUAAAACUCUAGUUCUCAAUAAAUAGACAGCAAAACCCAUACUGUCUUUCACAGCAACUCGACAAUGUCUUCAACAAAACCCACAUCACUCAUCGUCUCCAUCACCUUCUUCUUCUUCUUCUGUCUUCUCGUCCAACCCUCAUCGGCCCAAACCGUCGUUAAAGGGUCGUACUGGUUUCCAGAGAGUGAAUUCCCAGUUACCGACAUUAACUCAUCUCACUUCACUCACCUCUUCUGUGCUUUCGCUGAUCUCAACUCUCAAAACAAUCAAGUCACUAUCUCCUCCACCAACCAACCAAAAUUUUCAACCUUUACACAAACCGUGCAAAGGAGAAACCCUUCAGUGAAAACCCUUAUGUCUAUCGGCGGUGGAAUCGCUAAUAAAUCCGCGUUUGCUUCCAUGGCAAGUAACCCAACAUCUCGAAAAUCAUUCAUCGAUUCGUCUAUUAGACUUGCUAGGUCCAAUGGAUUUCAUGGUCUUGAUCUGGACUGGGAGUAUCCGAGUAGUGCAACGGAGAUGAACAACUUCGGGACGCUACUUCGAGAAUGGCGAUCUGCGGUUGCAGCAGAAGCAAGUAGCACUAGUAGACCGCGUUUGCUUUUGGCGGCUGCGGUUUUCUACUCUUCUGAUUACUAUUCUGUACUGUACCCGGUUCAAGCUGUUGCCAGUAGCUUAGAUUGGGUUAAUCUUAUGGCCUAUGAUUUUUAUGGACCAGGUUGGUCCACCGUAACCGGUCCACCCGCCGCCCUCAAUAGUCCUUCAAACGCAGGUCCGAGUGGCGACGCUGGAGUGAGGGCAUGGAUUCAAGCCGGACUUCCAGCAACGCAAUUAGUCUUGGGAUUUCCUUACUACGGCUACGCAUGGCGUCUCUCAAACGCCAACAGUCCUAGCUAUUACGCAGCCACCACUGGAUCGGCAAUUUCACCGGACGGUUCGAUAGGAUACGGUCAGAUAAGAAAGUUUAUAGUGGAUAACGGAGCGACAACGGUUUAUAAUUCCACAGUGGUCGGAGAUUACUGUUAUGCUGGGACGACUUGGAUAGGGUAUGAUGAUAAUCAGAGUAUCGUGACGAAAGUGAGAUACGCUAAGCAGAAAGGUCUGCGUGGUUACUUCUCGUGGCAUGUUGGAGCUGACGAUAACUCUGGUCUAUCUCGUUCAGCGUCACGGGCAUGGGAUGCUACCACGGUUAUCCGAAGGAAGUUUUAAAGUUUCAGCUGUUCCGACAACGGCUAGUGAAGAUGUUUGUUUUUGUAACAAACAAAAGAUUAACGUUAUCUGCUUUAUAUCUUCAUAUCAUGUCUAGGGAGGGAAAGAUAAAAGGCAAGAAACAUACCAUUUAUAAGCAAGUCUCACACUAAUGACAACCAUAGAUUAGUCUGUGUUUCGGUUUAGGAUUAGGAAACUCGGUUCUCAAAAAAUAUGUAAGAGAUUUAUGUAUAAAAAUCUCUUAUUAUGUAUAAUAUUUAUAUAUAAAAAUCUCGGUUCACACUAAUCGCAACCAUAGAUUAAUUUGUGUUUUGGUUUAGGAUUAGGAUACUCGGUUCUCAAUUAAUAUGUAAGAGAUUUAUAUAUAAAAAUUUAUGAUAUGCUGCUCUCUUCUCAUGACCAUUUAUAAGCAAUUCUCACACUAAUGGCAACCAUAGAUUAGUCUGUGUUUCAGUUUAGAAUUAGGAAAUUCGGUUCUCCAAAAAUAAGUCCUAGAUUCACAUGAUUUAUAUGGGGAAAGAUGCCUAUAGUUGAACAUUUAUGAGCAUUGUUAAAAAAUAAAUAGGUUCUGUGGAAUAUGCGUUAUGUUUAAGAGAGUUAACACUUAAGAAUCGAAGGGUAACAUUUUCUCUGGGGGCAUGCUUGGGCAUAAGGCUACAGAACGAGGAAACAAGUCGAGAUAGGUCAAUAAAUGUUAGUUUACUUUUUUGAACUUUUUAUUAGUUUACUUGAAAACAUGAAUUGGUCCACAAAAGCAACAUAAACAUUCUUUUUUUUUGUCACAAAGCAACAUAAACAUUCAAAAGCCAAAAUAAACAGAAGACCAUCGUAUGAGGUCUAAUCAAUUUUGUCCAUUUCUUCUAUACACUACUCAACUUUUGUUUAAUGGUACACGAAUAAAUAAAGAAAACCCACAUUUUUUGAUAUGGAACGUACUCAAUAACUUUAGUAAAAAACGCUAUAUAUACCAUACAAUCAGAACUAUAGUUUAAUUUUUAAAUAACAAAAAGGUUAUAUACUGCAGUCUAGUUUAAACUUGUUGGUAAUUCUUUAUAACUUUGAUUUUUCUUCUGGUCAUUCAGUAAGUCAUACUCCAUUCGUUUCAAUAUAAAUGAUGUUUUAAAAGGAAUAUUUUUUUUUCAAUUUAUAUGAAAUUUCUAAGAUUUAAAAUUAAUUUGAAUUUUAUUGGAAACUGUUCAAUCAAUUAAAUUUUACAGUUUUUAUAAUUAGUUAAAUGAUUUAAAAAAUUUAUCUUUAAAAAUAUUUUUUAAAAUAUAAAUUUCUUAAUCUUUAUGCACUAAGUAAAUGGUUCCAUUAAAUAUAACACUAUAAAUAACAUUUGUUUCCAGUGUAAAUUACAUAACCCUCCAAAUAACAUUUUCCAUUGUAAAUUAUAAAACAAAUGUAUGCAGUUAUAAGACAAAUGCUCCUGCUAUAAAAUACUAGUAACUCUUAAACCAGAAGUUUAAACGCAUGGCAACAACAACAACAAAUUAUCAGAUUAAUAAUACAAUUGUUAACUAAUUUUUGGUGCAAUUAUAUUUGUUAACUUGCUUAUUAUAGUAAAAUUUAUCACCUUUAAAUAAAAACUAAACAUAUACAAAUUACCCUACACUUCUUUUAAAAUAUAAAAUAUCACAUUCUAACAAAUUAAAAUAGUAUAACUGGAAACGAGUGUGGAUAACUUGAAAAGUAACGUCGACAUAGUAAUUUUACAAUUUCUCAAAUCCUCUAUAUUGGCAUAUAAAUAUAUUUGGAUGACAAUAAAAACAUAUAGUCAAAUACAGUAAUAUUCAUGUUUACUUAUAUAUUUUGGUAAGAAAUCUUACGAGUUCCCGAUUUGAAAAACUUGUGCAUAACCGGGCACGUUAAUUACAAACACACUCUAUAUACAUACGCGUUAUGCACAAGUUUUAUGUUCACUACCAAAAAAUACAGUAAUAUUCAUGUUUGGUAAUGCGCUAUAUUCAAGUUUAUAAACACACUCUAUAUACAUACGCGUUAUGCACAAGUUCUAUAUAUCUUUAGUUUUACUGUAUUUUUUGGUAGUGUGGUAAUAUUCUUUUAAUGUAAACAAAAUCAUAAUGCAGUGUUGGUUGAGUUCAAGAUUAGCACGGUAGUCGAUGUUCGUCCAAAUCAUGACAUUGUAAUUCAUAUAAUAACCGGAAACUAUAUCUAGUGUAAUUUAAAUACCUGACGUAUGGUAGACAACUUCGAAGUACAUGCAUAUAACAAAUUUUAGAACAUGAGAACUAUAAGAAAAUGUAAAUUUGCUCCGAUUCAUACACAUUAUAUAUGGGGUCCUUUUCUUUCUAACUUUUGAAGAUGUGUGAUUUAGUAUUUCAUAUUUAACUGUGUAAAUAUUAUAUAUUAAGUUUAAAACUUCUGAGCAAAACAUAUUAAUUUGAAUAAACAUUCUUGACAGAUAUGGUUUUUUAAUAUUAAAGUAAAAAAAUAAUAUUUGUGAUUUAAAUAAAUAUAACCAGAUUUUCGUUUAUAAAUAUAUGGUUUAAAUAAAAUCAUAUGUGCAAAACAUAUUAAUUUGAAUAAAAUCUUCUUAACAGAUAUGGCUAUUUCAAUAUUAAAGUUAAAAACUAUGUGUGUGAUUCAAAUAUCAUAGAAAACACAUUUUCGUUUCUAAAUAUUAUAUAUUAAGUUUAAAUAAAAUCUUUUGAGCAAAACAUAUAAAUUUUAAUAAAAUCUUCUUAACAUAUAUGUUUUUUUCAAUAUUAAAGUAAAAAAUAGUAUUUGUGAUUCAAAUAAAAUCGAACACACAUUUUCGUUUCGAAAGAUAUGGUUAAAAUAAAAUCAUCUGAGCAAAACAUAAUUUGAAUAAAAUCUUCUUAACAGAUAUGGUUAUUUCAAUAUUGAAGUAAAAAAAUCAUAUAUGUGAUUCAAAUAUCAUAGAAAACACAAUGUUUUUUUUCUAAACAUUAUAUAAUAAAUUUAAAUAAAUUUUUCUUAACAUAUAUGGUUUUUCAAUAUUAAAGUAAAAAACAGAAUUUAUGAUCCUAAUAUCAUAAAAAACAUAUUUUUCGUUUCUGAAGAAAACCAUUUUUGUUCCAUUUGCUAACUUUUAUAAAUUGUUCUUCAGCAGAUAUGUUUUUUUUAUUAAAGCUGUCAAAUAAAUUUUGUGCUUAUAGAAUAUCAUUUUAAAGAAUAUAAAUAAAGUCAUGACUAUUAUUGGACAGUCGUGGUUUGUCAUGCAACUAAACCAUGAUACAUUGGUUUUGGUUGAACCAAUCAAACAAUCCGAAUAUAAACUAAGUUAUAGAUCACAUUGCAUACACGCCAACAAACAUGUUAUGUAAAUGUAAAUAAAACAUAUGCUAAGCUACAAUUAAUGAAUAAUACAAUUAAUGAAUAAUGGUAAAUAAUGUAAUAAGUUUA